AAGGCACCUCGUUCGGUGAGGCGUCUUCACGGACACAGGCCACUGACCCCACGACGUCGAGAGACGCCCAGGGUCAGGACACCUCUCCCCGGCCUAAGGGGUGAGGCCAAGUGGCUUCCCCGGUAAGGGGAUUACGCCGUGGAGUGCCAAAGCUCUGACGAGUUGGGGUGUACC
rnacentral:sRNA from 2 species